rnacentral:rRNA from 1 species
CCUACGGGUGGCAGCAGUGGGGGAUAUUGGUCAAUGGGCGAAACCCUGAUCCAGCCACGUCGCGUGAGUGAAGAAGUAUUUCGGUAUGUUAAGCUUUAUCUGCAGGGAAGAAAGAAAUGACGGUACCUGAGUAAGAAGCCUCGCCUAACUACGUGCCUGCAGUCGCGGCAUUACGUAGGGGGCAAGCGUUCUCCGGAAUUAAUGGGUGUAAAGGGAGCGUAGACGGUAAUGCAAGUCUGGAGUGAAAGGCGGGGGCCCAACCCCCGGACUGCUCUGGAAACUGUGUAACUGGAGUGCAGGAGAGGCAGGCGGAAUUCGUGGUGUAGCGGUGAAAUGCGUAGAUAUUAGGAGGAACACCAGUUGCGAAGGCGGCCUACUGGACUGUAACUGACGUUGAGGCUCGAAAGUGUGGGUAGCAAACAGGAUUAGAUACCCGUGUAGUC